UGCUAUCCAAAGAGAAUAAAUUGUAACGUGUUAUAACGCUUACGAGUCUAAGCGUAUUUUAAUAAACUAGAAACAACGGAAGCUGCGAUAAAUUUAUGCAAAGGGUGAAAUAAUCGCAUAGUGUGCGUGCGAACUUCAGAUGGUUCCAAAAAUAAUUUCAGAGCAGCUCUCAAGGAUAACACGAUUCACAAAUUAACCUGGCACCUCUCGCGUGAUUCGGAUGUUACUUUAAUGGCGGAUGAGUCACGCACGGAACACGACACGACAUAGUUUAUAAUCCCACGUCUUAAUCGCAUCGCAAAUUAUCACUUUAGCCGCUGAAUAUCUCCUAUACAAUGGGUCUAAUCACCGAGGCCUCUAUUCUUGUCGGGCAGUCGUAUUCAGCUUUCUCGUGCAACAACAACGCAACCAGUGCGUACCCGCUGGCGCCAUUAAACACAAAUCAAUGGAACCGGCUUUGCAUGAGAUGGGAAUCGCCGCGCCCGCGCCGGCUACCUCGAAGUACGAACAGGUGUAACUCGAGCAGAUAUGAACGGGCAUGUAAAGACGAACGUACUGAACGCGCUUCAGGGCAAAGUAAUACCGGUGAAGCAAUCGGAAGAUCUUUUGAUCGUUUCUGCACGGGCAAUCGUUCUGUUUUGUUUUUUCGCCUGCUCUUUUGAGACGGUAGUACUUGUGUUUUGUAGAAAAUAGUAAGCCAUAAAAAAGUGCACUGUGAAAAGCCUAGACAGAAUAUGCAGUAUGAUAUCGGCGAUAAAUUGUAGAUCCUUCAGGGUAUAAUCGUUAUUUGAGGCGAUUAUAGUGGUUUAAAAGCAUUGUGAUACGAGAGACAGGUCCACGCGGAAUCGAAAUUGGUAUGUCGGUGCCUCCAGCAAGAACCUGCAGCGGCAAACAACAAGUAACCUGGCAAGGUGCUGGCUACCCUAUGCAUACAGAAUGCUGCUACCAACCUUCCGGGAAGGGAAUUUAUUAUGUGAUCUAAUUUAAAGGUGCGUGAUGUAUGAGGGUGCGUUCUCGCCCUUCGAUAAAUUCAACGGCUCGGAGAUUUUAUGAUUCGCUAAAUUCCGCCUCGGGAAUCGGCGGGCCCUAAAGAUGUCGUCGACUUGAUAUUUCUCGCCCAUUCGACUUGAGAUGCGCGAUAUAAUUUUCUAGCGUCCGUCAUUAAGUGGAAGUAGAAGACUACCUCAUGGACUACAAAACUAAAGCGGGUAUAAAUUUAAAUAAUACCUCGAUAUAAAUGCUAUGGUUUUUUUUUUGCUCUAUAAAACAGGGGAAGCCUGGACAUGAAAUAUCGGUUAGCUGGCAGCUACACGGGCCACGUAAUUUUCGAAAUUCGGUUCCGGACCAAUAUUCGCAUAUGAGAUAUGAAGACGUAACGAUGCUCGUUCGAGUGGAGCCGAGCGUUCGCGCCGAUGCAUUUCUGCGGCCGAGUCGCAGUUGGAAAUAUUGCGUAAUUGCUCGGUGCACCUGAAGCCGAGAUCGCGCGAAGCAUCCCUACGGACGAAACGAGGAAUUUUGACCACGAAUUGUUCCUCGGUCGCCGCACUGAGACUUCGUCAGUGAGGAUAACAGAAGAAGGGUGGCUUCAAAAUUGACCCAACCUUUUUGGCUGGAUGAAAUCAUAAAGAUCGGCGAUCGCGAGUGUAAUGGCAUUCCCCGCUGAGCAUUCCUCGUCGUAAUCUGUGGGAAGCUGAGGUCCUGACCCCACUACGAAGGAACGUGAUCCUGCGAGUGCAAGGCCGUCGCGAUUCACGAGAUCUCUACGCGAGAGCAUAGCAUACGAAAUUCUUAGUAUCGCGAUGAAAAUACGUGAUAUUUCCUCGUUGUCUUUGAAUUAGUAGCGCAGCAAGAAUUACGCUACUUAAUUAAAAAAUAUGUGUAGAUUAGAAUCAACAUUAAUUUAAAAAAUCAAUUUGAAAACUCUUUUGUGUGGUGCUCAAAUAGCAUAAAAGGUGCGAACAAAUAAUUUUUGUAAUCUCUGCAUGGUAAUUAAUUUGUCCUAACAUAAAAGGCUGCUACUCCGAUCCAAUCGAUUAACGCAGAAUAAUAUUCUAUGGGGAUCUUAAAUUUUACCACGGACAAAGUAGCUGGUGCCUAUUAAAUGGUUGCAUCGUUGAUUACUUAAUUGUGCCAACGCUAUCAAACUUCAUUUUUAAUGACUAAAAUCUGAUCUAAUUCCAAUUAGUGUGCGCAUUAAUUAGGCAUAAGUUUCUUUCCGUCAAUUAAAAGACCUUCGCGUGAUUUGCAUCGACUUUUUGUGAAUCAUUGACGAAACGAUAAUAUCAAAAUUAAUGAAAAAAAAAAGAAUUCAAAUUAGAAUAAAUUAGACAAAUUGAGAACCGCUGGAGCAUUUGGGAUACUCUAAUUGAAAAUCGGUCAAAAACUGACCACCUCUAUCUGUGCUCGGUGAUUCAACCGCUGGCUUCAUUAAUCGCGACACGGACCUCCAAGUCGCGGCGGCAUAUUUGAUGACUUUGUGACCACCCCAUACAAAAUGAUUCUCUUAAUGAAAACACGAUCAUGCGCGAUAAAAGAUGACCACCCUUGAUUACCUCAUGGGAGGCUGCGCGGCGUAUAGCGGCUCAAUACCGUAACAUUGAUUUAUUUCCGCGGUAGAAUUAAAAAGCUAAUGAAUAAUUAUCCGAUUUAAUUAUUACACAUUGUGUUUGGCUGACUGUAUCCAAUAAAAGCACCCAUUUUCUCCUGUAUUUGUGGUUACAGAAUUCAAUUUUAUUUUCGAUGUACCCCCGAGUAAAUUACAGAGAGACAGUCGUAUUGAUUUAGUAUAGAAUUUUAUCCCGCAUUCAAGCUUAUAGCUCGAUAACCCUUAUAAUUAUGGAUGAUACCAGUGAUUUCAGGUAAAUUAUUAGUUAGAAGAAUGUGUGCGUGUUUUUUUCCUACUAAGAAAGUCUAUGACAGUCGAUUCACCAUAGUUCGAUUUAAUCGAACAUGAAAAACAUAAUUAGCUUCUAAUAACCUCAUUGCAUUGUUCUUUUUAAUAGUAUACUUUAUGACAUGAUGAAAAUCAUGAUUCAGCAGCACCUGCAUCCUAUGAUUACAAUUUCUAUGAUUACAACGUUCAAACAAUGAAAUAUUAACAAUAGAUGUAUAUAUCUGCAAGAUUUUCUUUAACAACUAAGCGGUAAACCAAACAAAGAGUGCAGAUUUUAUUAUGUAUAAAGAAUUAACGCCUUUCUAUAAUAUUCAUAUCACCUUUCAGGGCUAAUUAGAGUUAUAAUUUUAUUAUGAAUUAACUGUUUCUUGUUGCAAUAUUUUAAUAUUUAUAUUUAUUCAAAUUAUAAUAAACAAUAAAGAGACAUAAUAAAAAUUAAAGAUAUACUAUAUGCAUAUGUAUAAUUGUAAAAUUAAUCAACUGCUUAUCUUCAAUUUAUCCUUUUCUAUUUUUAUCCGAAUGUUUUAAAAAUACUUUAAUUAUAAAUAUUCUUUCUUAUUUAUAGUGUAUAAAUGUGUAGCUGCGGCACCUUAAGAGAUCAAGGUUCUCAGAUAGUGUAAAUGUGCACAUUGAUCUUUCCUUACAUUGUAACGCGGGUAAUGCACAUCAUGAAACUUCAUAUCGAAACACGUUUCAUGUGCUGUACACCUGCUGUUUCAGGUAAAAAAAUCUGGCGCCUGCAGAUUUAUAUAAGAAAAAAUUUGAAAUAUUGUCAUGUAUUUUUAACGCUCUUAACAGGCCACACAAUUUUAUUAUCAAGUUAUCAAUUAUUAUUACAUUAUAACAUACGUACAUCGAAUUAUUUUGUUUAUUUACAACGUACAAUGUAUUAUUUUUUCCACCAAGUUUAUUGAGAGAAUAUAUCAUUAUUUCUUUAAAGCCUUUGAUUGAAAGAAUUUGGUUAAAAUAUUUUUGAUUGAAAGAAAAAAAUGAAUGAAUGAAUAUGUAAUUAAUUAUGCUUUUAAUCAAAAAUUGAAAAUUAUUUGCCACUAUAAAUACCGGCUUUAGCGUUUUAAAGAUUGAGAAGAGAGAAACUAGAAAGACUCAGAUUUUAAUUUCGCCGCAUUAAGAAAAGAACUAAAAAUCUACGCAAGUAUUUAUGCAGACCGUGAGAACCUCUACGGCAUGUAGGCGAGCAACGCGCUUCGUGUGGUCCACAUUGUCCGCGGUCAAAUUACAUGGAGAGCGGGGUGCUUCUAAUGGCAGUUCUCGUUCCUCGAGAGAAUCUGCAGGACGAAGAUGGAGCACUCGCUAUGAGCGAGGAAAAGACAAUAUGAAGGGAAUUUAUCGAGCAAGACAGAGAGAGAGAGAAGUUGCGUCGCAGAAGAGAAGAAAGAAUGAAGCAAGGAGAGAAAGAGGAACGAUUCUCCGUAGUGAAGAAGGAGCGAGAGACUCGAUUCGACGUGCUUCUUUGAUCCUUGAGAGCGAGACGACAGGGCGGGAGACAGAGCCGCUCAUAUUCCGACAUCACUUUAGCUUCGCUUCGGUCCUACUACUGCCACGCGACGUCCGUGAAGUGAACGGAACACCUGCUCGCUUCGUUGAUAUGCAAGGAAAAUUUUUAAAGAGACGAGGAUAACACUACGUUUGAUAAUGAAACCCCGUUCACAUGUUGGAAUCUUGAAAUGCAUGUAAACGACAAGUUUUAUAAGCAGUACAUAGUAUGCUAUAUCUGUUUAAUCAAUAAAAAAUAAUUUUUUCAAUCUUUCCGCUCUCGUAAAUAUUAUCGAUUUUUUUUCUAAAUGUUAAAUAAUUUUAUAUUUUGCACAAUUACUUCCAGAAGAGAGAAAUAGAAAUCCUUCUUUGUAUAUAAUUUUCAAUUGCGAUUGCAAUUUAGGUUUACGGACCCUGAAUAGUGAUACGGGAUUCUCUUGUAUAGAAGGAUAAGAUCUUUCAUGUGUGCUCGCAGAUUCUCGAUACAAGAGAACCAUAUCUUCCGAAUGUUAUCCUCAACACAUGACCCACGCUCGGCAGGCGAACUGGUUUCGCCUGAAAGGCGCCGCGGAUAUUUUUCUUCGUAUCACAUUGCACCCGUCCAUGUCUUGAUCGUGCGCCGUGAGGUACCGGGCGAUCAUUUCGAUCCGCGGAAUCACGGAUGUUAGCUCGUUCCACACGGUUUCGACAUCGAGGAAGUUGGCUCGAUCCACGUUGGCUGCUGGCUGGCAGUUGGCCCCGAAGAAACAUCGCAAAACCUACCGUCCAGUAAUAACCGUUGCACCGGUGCUAUCCAGUCAUUACCAGCGAGCUUUGGCUCAGCGCAUCAACCUAAUAUGUUUUUCAGGGUGGUCUGUUUAAACUCGCGGUGUUGCACCACACAAAUAUUCACCCACGAUUCGCACUUGCCUAGCCUCAGAAGCAUAUUUGUGUGAUUAAAAAAACUUUUUUAUUCCCGACUUUUAAAAGAUACAUAGAAGUUCAGAAGUUAUGACAAAAAUUAUAACGCAGUGUUUGCUACAUUGAAAAAAUGCAAACUGCAUUUACAUAAAUUAUUAAAACUUAUUCUUUUGACUUUUAUUUAUCAUAUGUAUAUCAUAUUAUCUCAUUAUUUCUUUAACACUGUAUAAUUAACUGCUUUAUGUGUGUUCAAAUAUCAUUAGUUGUCACAAAAACAACAUAUUAUGAACUUUGUAAUAAACAUACUGUUAUUAAACGAAUGUGAAAAUUAUAAUAUAUUGUAAGACUCUAAAAAAAUUCUUAAAUCGUACUUGUACUCGAUGCAUAAAAUUGUACUAUAUAAAAUCUAAAAAUAGGUAUAUAA